rnacentral:rRNA from 2 species
GGACGAACGCUGGCGGCGUGCCUAAUACAUGCAAGUCGAGCGGACAGAUGGGAGCUUGCUCCCUGAUGUUAGCGGCGGACGGGUGAGUAACACGUGGGUAACCUGCCUGUAAGACUGGGAUAACUCCGGGAAACCGGGGCUAAUACCGGAUGCUUGUUUGAACCGCAUGGUUCAANCAUAAAAGGUGGCUUCGGCUACCACUUACAUAUGAACCCCCGGCUCAUUGGCUAAUUGGUGAGGUAAUGGCUCACCUGGGCAGCGAUUCAUAGCCUACCUGAAGGGUGAUCAGCCACACUGGGACUGAAACCCUGCCCAAACUCCUACGGGAGGCAGCAGUAGGGAAUCUUCCGCAAUGGACGAAAGUCUGACGGAGCAACGCCGCGUGAGUGAUGAAGGUUUUCGGAUCGUAAAGCUCUGUUGUUAGGGAAGAACAAGUACCGUUCGAAUAGGGCGGUACCUUGACGGUACCUAACCAGAAAGCCACGGCUAACUACGUGCCAGCAGCCGCGGUAAUACGUAGGUGGCAAGCGUUGUCCGGAAUUAUUGGGCGUAAAGGGCUCGCAGGCGGUUUCUUAAGUCUGAUGUGAAAGCCCCCGGCUAACCGGGGAGGGUCAUUGGAAACUGGGGAACUUGAGUGCAGAAGAGGAGUGAAUUCCACGUGUAGCGGUGAAAUGCGUAGAGAUUGGAGGAACACCAGAUGGCGAAGGCGACUCAUCUGGUCUGAUACUGACCUGAGGAUGCGAAAGCGAUGGGGAGCGAACAGGAUUAGAUACCCUGGUAGUCCAGCCGUAAACGAUGAGUGCUAAGUGUUAGGGGGUUUCCGCCCCUUAGUGCUGCAGCUAACGCAUAAAGCAUCCGCCUGGGGAGUACGUUCGCAAGUGAAACUCAAAGGAAUUGACGGGGGCCCGCACAAGCGGUGGAGCAUGUGGUUUAAUUCGAAGCAACGCGAAGAACCUUACCAGGUCUUGACAUCCUCUGACAAUCCUAGAGAUAGGAGGUCCCUUUCGGGGGCAAAAUACCAGGUGGGGCAGGGUGUUGUUCAGUUGGUUGGAGAGGUUGGGUUAAUUCCGCAACGAGCCAACCCUUGAUCUUAGUUGCCAGCAUUCAGUUGGGCACUCUAAGGUGACUGCCGGUGACAAACCGGAGGAAGGUGGGGAUGACGUCAAAUCAUCAUGCCCCUUAUGACCUGGGCUACACACGUGCUACAAUGGACAGAACAAAGGGCAGCGAAACCGCGAGGUUAAGCCAAUCCCACAAAUCUGUUCUCAGUUCGGAUCGCAGUCUGCAACUCGACUGCGUGAAGCUGGAAUCGCUAGUAAUCGCGGAUCAGCAUGGCGCGGUGAAUACGUUUCCGGGCCUUUACACACCCCCCGUCACACCACGAGAGUUUGUAACACCCGAAGUCGGUGAGGUAACCUUUUAGGAGCCAGCCGCCGAAGGUGGGACAGAUGAUUGGGGUGAAGUCGUAACAAGGUAGCCGUAU